rfam:Brachypodium distachyon strain Bd21 chromosome 4, whole genome shotgun sequence.
AACAUAUUUUUCCGUUCAACAAAGAAUGUCUCAAUUUUGACUAAAUUUGAAUGCAUCUAUACAUUAAGUCAUGUUUAGAUCCAUCCAAAUUUUGACAAACUUAGACAUUUUUUGUUGGACGGAGGGAGUAUUAC